rnacentral:lncRNA from 1 species
UCGGAAUCAUUUUCUCCCCCUCGGCCUCCGGCCUGCCGCGCCGGCGCCGGCGGGCUAGGCCGGCCCCCGAAAUCGGUGAGGAGAAAUCUGUCAGUAGCAUGUCAAAGUCGUCGCUCCGUAAUUUUUUUCACUCAGAAAACAUUUUCAAGGCAGUUGGCAAAUCAUCAAAGGUUUGGAUUUCAACAGGAAGAAUUGAUAAAGUGAUCUUUGUGAUAUCAGCUGACGUCAAGAGACAUGUUUGUUGAGCAAUGGAAGUAUAUUUUUUCACUGGCACUGGAUCUUCUUCGAAUUCGAUGGACAUUGAUUUGUUGGUGCUGAAUUGUGUUGCUAAUUCGAUCAUGAACAUGAAUGUGAUGUUGCGAAGAGAGCUGAAAGGAUGAGAACGUCGACACUCCACUGACUCCAGAAAUAUUUCUGUAAAAGUAACUAGGCAUAGAUCCUAAGUGAGUUUUUUACCCGUGGCCGUAGAACAGUGGCUGCAUUCAAGACUGGAGUUGAAAGCUUGGCCCUUUAUCUAUUCUACAUGACUAAUAUGCUGAGCAGGACAUCAGGAGGGAUAUUGCUGUUGUGUUUUGGACAGCAGAGAAGGCAGGUACAGAGGUCUUCAAACCAGAGGAAGACAGGCAAAAACAGGAUAUCUCCAUGAAGGUGAUCUGAUAAAGAGUGUCAAGAAUGAAAGUCAUCUGAAUAUAGUUUCAAAUGAAUGCAAUCAGCAAGUGGUAUCCAUGAGAGCAGUACUCUGAAGGGUUGAUCUGACAGUAGUGGUUCAACAGGAAGGAUGGAGCAUGGAGCUAGAUUGUAAGGAGUCAUGAUGGAGAAUGAACUCGAGAAACCUGGGUCAAAGGUCAAGAAAAUGCCUGGAAAAAUGCCACCAGAACCAGUGCUGUAGCCGUUAUACCAAGGGAGAGAAUGCUAGAAGAGGGACAUACAGAUUCUGACCAACUAGUCAUCUUGCCAAAUAUCAAGGAUCUGUCAACUUUUCAAUAGAGGCUUAGGAGACGGUGAAGGCUGUGAAAGCUCUGGUUAAACUCAUCUCACUCAGUGUACAACAAGAAUCCACCAGCUGGUGUUAACCAUCUUGCUAUAGUAUCAGAGAGAUUGUCUACCAGAGACAAGGACGUGACGCUAAUCUUCAAGUCUUCAACUACAUGGAAUGUCCGGUGUGAACAGUUAUUGGUCUUUGCGUGAAGUAUGGUCAUCACAAGAAUGGCUAUGACACCAAACUCUUCAUAUGCACCCUCAAUCUUGUGUCAAUGAUCUAUUCAUGAUGAAGAAUAUUAUAAAGGGAUGGAAUCUUGACGUCAGUCAUGAUCUACUUUAUAUCUGGUGUAAGCCUGAUUUAAAUGCGCCCCUUCAGAUCAAGUUUUUUACUGAUAUACAGUGUAGAUGAUGUUUGGUGUUAAAAGGAUGGUCCGGGCUGAAAAUAUCUUAAAACAUAGA